rnacentral:tRNA from 1 species
GGGGUUAUGCUCGUUGGUUGGGCGUACUAGCUGUUAACUAGUUUUGUGAAGGAUCGAGGCCUUCUAAUCUCU